rnacentral:rRNA from 1 species
CACGUAGGGGGCGAGCGUUGUCCGGAAUCAUUGGGCGUAAAGAGCUCGUAGGCGGCUCGGUAAGUCGGAUGUGAAAUCCCCAGGCUUAACCUGGGAACUGCAUCCGAUACUGGAUGGCUUGAAUUCGGGAGAGGGAUGCAGAAUUCCAGGUGUAGCGGUGAAAUGCGCAGAUAUCAGGAGGAACACCCGUGGCGAAGGCGGCUCUCUGGGACGGUACUGACGCUGAGACGCGAAAGCGUGGGGAGCGAACAGG